CCCGGAGACCCUUAGGAAACUAGGGGGUGCUUCCAUCUGGAAGAAUCUGGAGACAGGUGCUGCAUGGCUGUCGUCAGCUCGUGUCGUGAGAUGUUGGGUUAAGUCCCGCAACGAGCGCAACCCUUGCCUUUAGUUGCCAGCAGUUCGGCUGGGCACUCUAAAGGGACUGCCGGUGUUAAACCGGAGGAAGGUGGGGAAUGACGUCAAGUCCUCAUGGCCUUUAUGACCAGGGCUACACACGUACUACAAUGGCGCAUACAAAGGGCAGCGAUACCGCGAGGUGGAGCCAAUCCCAAAAAGUGCGUCCCAGUCCGGAUUGCAGUCUGCAACUCGACUGCAUGAAGUUGGAAUCGCUAGUAAUUCGAGAUCAGCAUGCUCGGGUGAAUGCGUUCCCGGGCCUU
rnacentral:rRNA from 1 species